UAGGGAAUCUUCCGCAAUGGACGCAAGUCUGACGGAGCAACGCCGCGUGAGUGAAGAAGGAUUUCGGUUCGUAAAACUCUGUUGUUAGAGAAGAACAGCGCAUAGAGUAACUGUUAUGCGUGUGACGGUAUCUAACCAGAAAGCCACGGCUAACUACGUGCCAGCAGCCGCGGUAAUACGUAGGUGGCAAGCGUUGUCCGGAUUUAUUGGGCGUAAAGCGAGCGCAGGCGGUCAAUUAAGUCUGAUGUGAAAGCCCCCGGCUCAACCGGGGAGGGUCCUUGGAGACUGGUUAACUGGAGUGCAGAAGAGGAGGGUGGAAUUACAUGUGUAGCGGUGAAAUGCGUAGAUAUAUGGAGGAACACCAGUGGCGAAGGCGACUCUCUGGACUGUAACUGACGCUGAGGCUCGAAAGCGUGGGUAGCAAACAGG
rnacentral:rRNA from 1 species